CCUACGGGAGGCAGCAGUGGGGAAUAUUGGACAAUGGCCGCAAGGCUGAUCCAGCCAUGCCGCGUGCAGGAAGACGGACCUAUGGUUUGUAAACUGCUUUUGAACUAGAGAAAACCCCUUUACGUGUAAAGGGCUGAUAGUAUAGUUAGAAUAAGCAUCGGCUAACUUCGUGCCAGCAGCCGCGGUAAGACGAAGGAUGCAAGCGUUAUCCGGAUUCAUUGGGUUUAAAGGGAGCGUAGGCGGAUUUGUAAGUCAGUGGUGAAAUCUCUUCGCUUAACGAAGAAACUGCCAUUGAUACUGCAGAUCUAGAGUACAGUUGCCGUUGGCGGAAUAUGACAUGUAGUGGUGAAAUACUUAGAUAUGUCAUAGAACACCGAUUGCGAAGGCAGCUAACGAAGCUGUAACUGACGCUGAGGCUCGAAAGUGCGGGGAUCAAACAGGAUUAGAUACCCUGGUAGUCCGCACUGUAAACGAUGAUUACUCGUUGCUGGAAGGUAACUUUCAGUGACCAAGCGAAAGCGAUAAGUAAUCCACCUGGGGAGUACGCCGGCAGCGGUGAAACUCAAAGGAAUUGACGG
rnacentral:rRNA from 1 species